rnacentral:rRNA from 1 species
UGGGAAUUUGGACAAUGGGCGAAAGCCUGAUCCAGCAAUGCCGCGUGUGUGAAGAAGGCCUUCGGGUUGUAAAGCACUUUUGUCCGGAAAGAAAUCCUUGGCUCUAAUACAGUCGGGGGAUGACGGUACCGGAAGAAUAAGCACCGGCUAACUACGUGCCAGCAGCCGCGGUAAUACGUAGGGUGCAAGCGUUAAUCGGAAUUACUGGGCGUAAAGCGUGCGCAGGCGGUUUGCUAAGACCGAUGUGAAAUCCCCGGGCUCAACCUGGGAACUGCAUUGGUGACUGGCAGGCUAGAGUAUGGCAGAGGGGGGUAGAAUUCCACGUGUAGCAGUGAAAUGCGUAGAGAUGUGGAGGAAUACCGAUGGCGAGGGCAGCCCCCUGGGCCAAUACUGACGCUCAUGCACGAAAGCGUGGGGAGCAAACAGGAUUAGAUACCCUGGUAGUCCACGCCCUAAANGAUGUCAACUAGUUGUUGGGGAUUCAUUUCCUAGUAACGUAGCUAACGCGUGAAGUUGACCGCCUGGGGAGUACGGUCGCAAGAUU